AACGAACGCUGGCGGCGCGUUUUAAGCAUGCAAGUCGAACGGUAUCCAAAGCUUGCUUUGGAGAGAGUGGCGAACGGGUGAGUAACACGUAGGUAAUCUGCCUUGAGGCUGGGGAUAGCCUGUGGAAACACAGGGUAAUACCGAAUAUGUUUUUUGUCUGAAAUGACGAAAAAGCAAAGGGGCUUCGGCCUCGCCUUAAGAUGAGCCUGCGGUUCAUUAGUUAGUUGGUGGGGUAAUGGCCUACCAAGACGACGAUGAAUAGCCGGCCUGAGAGGGUGACCGGCCACACUGGGACUGAGACACGGCCCAG
rnacentral:rRNA from 1 species